GCGCACGGGUGAGUAACACGUGAAUAAUCUACCUCCGAGUGGGGAAUAACUGAGAGAAAUCUUAGCUGAAUACCGCAUAACACUUACGAGUCAAAGCAGCAAUGCGCUUGGAGAGGAGUUCGCGGCCGAUUAGUUAGUUGGCGGGGUAAUGGCCCACCAAGACGAUGAUCGGUAUCCGGCCUGAGAGGGCGCACGGACACACUGGAACUGAAACACGGUCCAGACUCCUACGGGAGGCAGCAGUGGGGAAUCUUGCACAAUGGAGGAAACUCUGAUGCAGCGACGCCGCGUGAGCGAUGAAGCCCUUCGGGGUGUAAAGCUCUUUCGACGGGAACGAUAAUGACGGUACCCGAAGAAGAAGCUGCGGCUAACUACGUGCCAGCAGCCGCGGUAAGACAGAGGGUGCGAACGUUGCUCGGAACUACUGGGCGUAAAGCGCGUGCAGGUUGGCUCUCCACGUCCGGUGUGAAAGCCCGGGGCUCAACCCCGGAAGCGCGCUGGAUACGAGGGAGCUUGAGGGCUGGAGAGGCAGGCGGAAAUUCCCGGUGUAGAGGUGAAAUU
rnacentral:rRNA from 1 species